CAACCCUUGGAGGUCUCUUGGAACACACCCUUUGAACACCCAUUGUCUUUGCUCCCUGUAGUGUCCCAGCUCUCUGCUCGCUAUACCUCUUCAAAGAAACCCUCCUUUGAAGACCGAUACAAAGAUAGGUCUCCUGUGCACUCCUUGCUAACUGCUCCUUUGGAUGACCUUAAGGCAGCUCCUGCACCAUCCUUGGAACGACGGUCCAGUCUGAAGAAGAACUGCUCCCCCCCAGAACCCACAACUACGACCACCAGUCGAAGUGUUUCUUUCAGCACCUCAACUUUGAUUCAGACGGGGGAAUCCAGAGAAAAUGCUUGCAGGAAAUUACAGAAUAAGAUGGAGAAUCUACAAAACCUUGUGGAAACAAUGCAGUUAAAAAACCAAGCAAUGUCCACCAUGAUCAGAUGUCAGGAAAAGAAAAUAGAGCAAGCCAAGGAAAAAGAGAAGAAGCUCUCCAAAUGAAUAUAUGGGCACGGUUUUCAGUCCCUCAAAGAGGUAUCCAGAUUGCAUUUUGACAAAUGGAAUGUUUUUAAGCCUCCAGUUCUUGUUAAUAAUAAAAGUUGAC
rnacentral:lncRNA from 1 species